UACGUAGGUCUCAAGCGUUGUUCGGAUUCAUUGGGCGUAAAGGGUGCGUAGGCGGCGCGGUAAGUCGGGUGUGAAAUCUUGGAGCUUAACUCCGAAACUGCAUUCGAUACUGCCGUGCUUGAGGACUGGAGAGGAGACUGGAAUUUACGGUGUAGCGGUGAAAUGCGUAGAUAUCGUAAGGAAGACCAGUGGCGAAGGCGGGUCUCUGGACAGUUCCUGACGCUGAGGCACGAAGGCCAGGGGAGCAAACGGG
rnacentral:rRNA from 1 species